UAUUGAUAUUAGUGUUGGUGCUAUUGUUGGUUAACAUGUGAAAGUACUUUGUAAACUGCAUAAAAGAUAAAGAUCAUUAUUCUUAUCACUGUGGCUACUAAUUGUAAUAAAGUUCAGCUGAAGGAACAAGAAACAUUUAUUUUGACACUUGAUCUUCAGAGCCUACUCCAUUUAACACUCCUCAGCACCCCAAUCUCCCAGUCACUCUGGGGCCCCAGAUGUAACAGAAAGGGGAGUUUUUAAGGAUAGGGAGAAAGGGGGAAAGAAGAGCCCUGGGGAGCCCCUCUUUCAUCUCAAAGGAGCCAGAUUUCUGUUUUUGCAAAACAGUGAGCUUACUGUGCACUCCCCAACAAUAAUAAACUUUCCCUGGCUGGCUGGCUCCCGGCAGUGAUUCCUUUGCAAAGCUGCUCUGGGAGCACUGCGUCACCCUCCCAGACUUCAGCCUUCCCCACACCACAGCUACCUCAGAGUGAAUCAAAACAUAGGGCUAGGGAAUGGCGUGGCAGCCCAGGGGCUCAUUAGCUUUGGCUUGGCUGGUUAACCCAUUUCUUUGCAUUAAUAUUUAUUCAGCCCUUCCCUUUAUUAAACCCCAAAUAACUGGGGAAAUAGCAACAUAGCCACAACCCUCUAGCCAGGCUGCUAGAGCAAGCAAGUUGGAGUCUGUGUCAUAGAGUCUCAUGUUUGGUAUGCACACACAUAUGUCUCCAUCUCCCUGUCUGUCUCCAUCUUCGCUGUUACUAAAGAAGAGAUAUAUAUACACCCACAAGAGUUAGAAAUAAAUGUGCAUUUAAACAAACUUCCAUUACAGUCUCAUAAUCCUAUAAUUUAAAAAGCAUCCUGCUCCUGAUUAUCCCUCUCCCCUCCCCAAGACUCACCACCAUGUAUGGUGAUAAAUUGUAUCUUAAGUGCUUGUCUGAGAUGGCCCUGUGUGGGGACGGGCCAAGAUUGUGAGAGGUAAAAACACCAAUGUUUGGGAGAUGGAUUUUCCCCUGAAGGAGAACCCAGCGCCCACAAUACCGUGCCCAUGGUGAUAAGGAAGUAAGUGAGGAGGAGCCUCAGCCUGAGAUGCUAGGUGGACAGAGGAACGGAGAAGUCUGGCAGUUGGUGUUUGGAGACUAGUAGAGCCAAGCACAACCGGGUGCAAAUGGAAACGCCUGUACUGUCUUCCCAAAGUUCCUUCCUACGUCGUCACUGUGCCCCCACCACCCUCCCAGCUUGCAUCUGAGCUGGCAUCCUCCAAGAACCCUUCUUCCGAACUCGGUAAAAGGUCAGAUCCUUCGCUGGCCUUUCUGGAGCGCCACGGCCCAGCGUUUGGGGUGAGAAGGUCGCAGUGCGCCCACACACUUCGAAGUUCCCUGCAGCCUCCCUGCCGCACCCCCCGCCCUUGUACUGUGGCAGAGAUGGGGCCGGAGGGGGGCCCCUCUGCGGCCUGGCAUCCCUGCAGCCAGCUGGCUCAGCCUUCGAGGAGGCCCGGGCUGAACCUCGCGUCACCCCGUUGCAACGCGCGCCGCCAAGCGCUCUGGCGAGAGAAAGACCAUUUUUGUAUUAAAUUGGACCAGGGCAUAGGGUUACGCAAGAGCCACUCGAGCGUGAAAUCCCAAGAACAACUUGAUUCGCUGAGAAGCCGGGGGAGGGGAGCCUGCGCCGCCCGCCAGGACCUGCCCAGCCUGGGGCGCGCGGGCAGCCGGGCGCCCCGUGCAAAACCGGGUGGAAGGAAAAGGAGGACGCAGUGGUUGGUGCUGGCACAGCGGCUGCAGCGAGCGAUCGAAUCUCUGACUGCUUUCUUCCUGGAGGGGCGGGGAGCAGGGAGGGGAAGAAAGGCGGGGGAGUCGGGUCGGGUUGCUGCCUCUUCCCGGCUUCCUCUCCUUGCCAGCGUGCCAGGGCACGGGGGAGCCCAGAGCUGUCCUCAGCAAAAACGGGUGUGUUUUUUUAUGUGCCAAAAUAAAGGGACUCUGGAACGAGUCUCUCAGGGACCCGAUCUAAAGGGAGAAACUGGGAGGAAGCGCCAGACAAGGGUGCUAUUCACUGACCCGAUUGAGUUAAAACAAACACCUACAACCCCAAGAAAGAACGGUAGCGGGGUAGGGAGCCUUGGAGAAGAGGAAGCAGAAAGUCUGGCCGGAUGGCCGUGAAGGCCACAGGUGCGCAUACCCCUGGACCCUCCCACCCCAUCCCGCGUGCGCCUGGGCCUCGGCAGAGAGCAGGAAUGCCAGCCGGUUCCCACCCGCCCGCACCAGAGCUGGGGAUUUCCACCGCCCGUAUUCGGAGACCCGUUGCCGCCGGCGCCUUCCCGCUGGGGCCGCCCGAAGGCGGGGUUUCAGAGAGGGUCGCCCCUCCCUGCGGCCUCGCUCUCCCUUCGGCUACGUCUGGUACUGAAGAGGCUGCCGUCGCUGCUGUCCUGGGGGAAGGGUGGGUGAGCCAGGACCUACAAAUAUUCAGGACCUGUCCGAGCUGAGCGUUUCAACCCGCGACUCGGUAGAGAGCGAGGGAGGGCGCUUAGCCUUGGGUAGUUACUUAUCUUAUGUUGUCCAAUUUGGACCCGGCUGAACCUGAAAUAGUUGUGUGACCUGAAGCAAAUCGCUUGAACUUUGGUUUCUUCAUCUGUAAAAUGGGAAUAAUUACACUACCUCUCUUGCCUGCUUCAGUGGCCUGUGUGGAACACACAGUAUUAUAAUGUACUUAAAAUGUAAGCGAUUAUUAACAUAACAAUGGCCAGCAUUUUGUCUAGGGCUGCAAGAUGUGUUCCCAGACAUUAUCUCACCAAAUCCCCACACCAACCCUCUGAGGUAGGUGUUACUUUCAUCACCCUCCUAUAUAGGUGAAGAAAGCAAGUCCAGAGCUGGUUCAGAGUUACUGGAAACCAAGUUCCCUGGCUCUAAACCCUGCAUUCCUUCUUCUACCCCAGCAGUUAUUAGCCUUUUGGGGGUCUGAGAUGCCUCUGAAAAACCGCAGGAAAGUUAAAAAAAAUUUCUCCCCACAAGUUUGCAGGUUAAAAAGGCCAUUGCUGUCCCAGUACAUGCAAGGUUAUGCAUAAAAUUAGCACUGGUUAUUUUGGAGUUAAAAUCGAUGGGCGCCCAGCUUUGAGCAAAAUUGUUUAGCCAGUGCUUCCCCAGCCUCCACUGAGCCCUUUUUCCCUCUUCCUGGGUUUUCGAUACCCUGGUCCCAGGCAGAGAUGACAGAGGAAAAUCUGAAGCUCUAGAACACACUGAAGGAAUUCACUGUACCACUUUUACCCGGGACAGCUGCGUUUUAAAUGAGCAUACCUGAGGAGGACGGCAGCCUCAGUAAUGAAGGGGGAGGAGAAAAGUGGAGACGGUACAUUUCAUGGUGGGAGGAGCUUCUUU